UACAGAGGCCUCGAGCGUUAGGCGGAAUCACUGGGCAUAAAGCGCACGUAGGCGGUGUCGUAAGUCGGGUGUGAAAUCCCUCGGCCUAACCGAGGAACUGCGCCCGAUACUGCGAUGCUUGAGGACCAGAGGGGUGCAUGGAAUUUCCGGUGGAGCGGUGAAAUGCGUUGAUAUCGGAAGGAACUCCGGCGGCGAAAGCGAUGCACUGGCUGGUUUCUGACGCUGAGGUGCGAAAGCCAGGGGAGCAAACGGG
rnacentral:rRNA from 1 species